CAGUAGCCGCGGUAAUACAGAGGGUGCGAGCGUUAAUCGGAUUUACUGGGCGUAAAGCGUGCGUAGGCGGCUUCUUAAGUCGGAUGUGAAAUCCCUGAGAUUAACUUAGGAAUUGCAUUCGAUACUGGGAAGCUAGAGUAUGGGAGAGGAUGGUAGAAUUCCAGGUGUAGCGGUGAAAUGCGUAGAGAUCUGGAGGAAUACCGAUGGCGAAGGCAGCCAUCUGGCCUAAUACUGACGCUGAGGUACGAAAGCAUGGGGAGCAAACAGGAUUAGAUACCCCAGUAGUCCCUGUCUCUUAUAA
rnacentral:rRNA from 1 species